CACCGAAGCCUGCGGCAGUUUUGCUGUUAGGCAAUGUGGUGUUUGGGUCGGCUAGUAGGAUUGCCACUCCACUCGAAGUCCAGCAUUGAGUAUGGUCUCUGGAUUUGGCCCUUAGAGGGUGAAAGGCCCGUACGGGUGGAGGUUUCAGAUAUGAAGGGCAAUUCACCAGGCCGGCCUUAGAGUCGGGUUGUUUGAGAAUGCAGCCCAAAGCGGGUGGUAAACUCCAUCCAAGGCUAAAUACUAGCACGAGUCCGAUAGCAAACAAGUACCGUGAGGGAAAGUUGAAAAGUACUCUGAAGAGAGAGUAAACAGUACGUGAAACCGCAUGCAGGUAAACGGGUGGCGUCAAGCUGCACGCCCGGAGAAUUCAGCCGGCUAGGGUGUAGUGUAUGCGCCUGUCGCGUCCAUCGGUCAGAAUAGAAUUGAACAGUCCACUGGCAUACGGUGGGCCCAGCUGCAAGGUUGGGAUGUGUGUACCGAGCGGAAGCCGGAGCAUGCUGUUUGUCUGUUGGACCGUCUAGCCGGUGCACUUUCUCUGUGGCGGACACCACGACCGGUGGUACUGCCAGUCUGCUGUAGUCGAGUCGUGUUGAGUCGGUCCUCGUGACCAACUGGAUGCGAUCACAGGCAAUUUCAGUGAACGGCGUAGGUGUGCCUCGGCAUGCCUGCGUGCUACCGGCUACUGGUUGUGAACGGGCCUACCCGAUGUGGUGCAAGCCUAUUGGGUGGUCUGGUGGACUACGGUGGUAAGAAUAACUGUGCAGGGCACCGGUGUUCUCGGCCUCAAGUGCAACUCGCAUCCACCUUGCGUAUGUGUGCAUGGGGUGCUACUGCAGCCUGCCUGUUUUUUGUUGGGUUCGAUUGUCGUGUCGCCUGCAUAAAGUGGGCCCGGCGAUAGCCUGAUGCAGGAUGGAGCUGUGCCUGGUAGCAAUGCCUCUAGCGUGCGAGUUGCGGUGGGCCUAAUAGUCAGUGGUGUAGUGGUAGAUCAGCCACCCGACCCGUCUUGAAACACGGACCAAGGAGUUUAACAUGUAUGCAAGUCGUAGGGUCCUACGAAACCUGAAGGCGCAAUGAAAGUGAAGCUUCGACUUGUUCUCGGAGUGAGGUGAGAUCCUGCCGUUACUCGCAUCAAUUCUGCCAGUGGCAGGUUAAGAGCGGCAGGCGCAUCACCGGCCCGUCUUAUGAUGUGGUCAUUGGA
rnacentral:rRNA from 1 species